AAGACCUUGCGCUUUUGGAGCGGCCGAMGCCUGAUUAGCUUGUUGGUAAGGUAAAAGCUUACCAAGGCUUCGAUCAGUAGCUGGUCUGAGAGGACGACCAGCCACACUGGGACUGAGACACGGCCCAGACUCCUACGGGAGGCAGCAGUGGGGAAUUUUGGACAAUGGGGGCAACCCUGAUCCAGCCAUGCCGCGUGAGUGAAGAAGGCCUUCGGGUUGUAAAGCUCUUUCAGCCGGAACGAAACGGUUACGGUUAACACCCGUGACUACUGACGGUACCGGAAGAAGAAGCACCGGCUAACUACGUGCCAGCAGCCGCGGUAAUACGUAGGGUGCGAGCGUUAAUCGGAAUUACUGGGCGUAAAGCGUGCGCAGGUGGUUUUGUAAGUCAGAUGUGAAAGCCCCGGGCUCAACCUGGGAACU
rnacentral:rRNA from 1 species